GUCCUUUUGUAAAGGUGGAAGGUCUGGCCUGCUCGAUGAGAUAUUUAAUGGCCGCGGUAUUACUGACCGUGCAAAGGUAGCAUAAUCAUUAGUUCUUUAAAUGGGGGCUGGAAUGAAUGGUUGGACGAGGAAGAAUCUGUCUUGGGUUGUUUGGAGUUAUGAAGUUUACUUUUCAGUGAAAAGGCUGAAAUAUUACUGAGGGACGAUAAGACCCUAUAGAUCUUUAUAUUUUGAUUUAUGAAAAGGUGUUAUGAAUAAGGAGUAUUUGGUUGGGGCGAUUGGAAGAGAAGUUAAUCUCUUUUUUGGAGGUAAUUACUGAUAAGUAUAAUAAGAUCCAUAAAUAAUGAUUAUAAGAGAAAGUUACCUUAGGGAUAACAGCGUAAUCUAUCUUGAGAGUUCAAAUCGAGAGAUGGGUUUGCGACCUCGAUGUUGGAUUAAGAAGUUCUUUUUGGUGGAGAAGCUAAUUAGGAGGGUCUGUUCGACCUUUAAAUUCUUACA
rnacentral:rRNA from 1 species